rnacentral:pre_miRNA from 13 species
AGGGCCCCUGCCCCCGUGCCACGGUCAGCUGGGGUUCCUGGGGAUGGGAUUUGCUGUCUGUCACAAAUCACAUUGCCAGGGAUUUCCAACUGACCCUGAGCUCUGCCUCCAGGGCCAC